UUUUAGCUUGUUGCCCCUGACAACCAAAGUGCCCAAUCAAACGGCACGGAAAUUGGACGCACCUGUGGAGCAUUAAGACUGCCCAUUUAAAAGGAGCGACAGGAGGAGGAAGAAAAAGGCAGGGUCGACGGAAGGAUUCGUCAGGUUUUGCCCGGAACGGGGAAGAAUCGACAGGCUUUGCCAAGAGCGACCGGGUGAACGCACGCAGGCUGGGAAGGAACCCCCCGGAUGACACAGCAGACCCCGCAGGCUACCGGAGCCAACCCCAAAAAACACACAACACGCAGGGGCAGAGGACAAUCUGCCUCCCAAGGGGGCGAUUUGGACCCAGGGACCUACGGCGACCCCCAGAAGCGACCAGGAGGCGGAGCGGGACGGGUACGGCCAUGUAGGUCCCGCGAGUUACCAGAGACUGGCACGGAACUACAGCAAAGGCAGGAAAAACCCUGCCUUGUGUGAAGACUCCGUGGAAGUGGGCGGAGCCAAGAUACGGACCCCCACGACUGUUGUGACUGUACCCUUGCCCAAAUCAUUUGUUAUCAUUUGGUAUUUUAGUGUCGACAACGUGACUGGUUUUUAAUUGUAUUUUAAUAAUUUGUGAACCAGUAUAAUCAUCUUUCCUUAUUUUGGGACAGCUGCUCUCACUACAUUGGGUUCUUAAUAUUUAUAUUGGUUUUAAGCAACACUUUUAUUAGAUUCUUAAUAUUUUACCACUCUGGUCCAUAACAAGUCCUCAGGUAAAAAAUGCUUGGAGCAAACAAACAUAGGUUUUCUGAGCCAUGUCUUUGAGUCUAAGUUGAAUUUCAUAGUCCUUUUUGGCUUUUAUUAUCAAGUCCGAGGCGUGAUUUAUAAUCUAGCAACUAGCAUUAAUUUUUUCAAGGUGAUUUAGGAGCAAAAGCUUCAGUAGCUAGCUUACAUCUCACCGGAAAAGCAGUGCGUGUCUCUGAAAGAAAGGUGUUGUGUUACUAAAACUUGUUCUUAGGUGUUAACUCUAGCUCCUACCGGUCAGACGUGCCCGAAACACCUCCCAAGGGAGGCGUUGGGGUGGCAUCCUGACCUGAUGCCCGAACCACCUCAUCUGGCUCCUCUCAAUGUGGAGGAGCAGCAGCUUUAAUGUGGGCUCCUCCCGGAUGACAGAGCUUCUCACCCUAUCUCUAAAGGAGAGCCCCGCCACCUGGGGGAAGAAACUCAUUUCGGCCGCUUGUACCCGUGAUCUUGUCCUUUUGGUCAUUACCCAAAGCUCAUGACCAUAGGUGAGGAUGGGAACGUAGAUCGACCGGUAAAUGGAGAGCUUUGCCUUCCGGCUCAGCUCUUUCUUCACCACAACUGAUUGAUACAGCGUCCCCAUUACUGAAGACGCCGUACCGAUCCGCCAGUCGAUCUCACGAUCCGCUCUUACCCCACUCGUGAACAAGACUCCGAGGUGCUUGAACUCCUCCACUUGGGGCAAGAUCUCCUC